UGUAGAACUUAUCUAGGUGUGGUGGUGCACAUCUGUGGUCCCAGCUACAAAAGAGGCUGAGGUGAGAGGACCUCUCGAGCUCAGGAGGUUCAGGCUGCAGUGAGCCAUGAUUGCACCACUGCACUCCAGCCCCAGUGACAGAGCGUCC